rnacentral:rRNA from 1 species
AGAGUUUGAUCCUGGCUCAGCCUGAACGCUGGCGGCGUGGCUAAGACAUGCAAGUCGCACGGGGUAGCAAUACCCAGUGGCGAACGGGUGAGUAAUGAAUCGCUAACGUACCCCGGACUCUGAGAUAGCUGCCCGAAAGGGCAGGUAAUAUCAGAUGACAUAUCCCUGCUGCAUGGCAGGGAUCUCAAAGGUCCGCCGGUCUGGGAGCGGGCGAUUUCGUAUCAGCUAGUUGGUGAGGUAACGGCUCACCAAGGCGACGACGCGUAGCCGGACUGAGAGGUUGGCCGGCCACAUUGGGACUGAGACACUGCCCAGACUCCUACGGGGGGCUGCAGUAACGAAUCUUCCGCAAUGCACGAAAGUGUGACGGAGCGACGCCGCGUGUAGGACGAAGCCCUUCGGGGUGUAAACUACUGUCAGGGGUUAGAAAGUUCUGAUCAACCCCAAAGGAAGGCACGGCUAACUCUGUGCCAGCAGCCGCGGUAAGACAGAGGUGCCGAGCGUUAGGCGGAAUCACUGGGCUUAAAGCGUGUGUAGGCGGAUUUUUAAGUACCUUGUGAAAUCCCACGGCUUAACCGUGGAACGGCUGGGUAGACUGGAAAUCUUGAGCCACUUAGGGGCGAGCGGAACAAAUGGUGGAGCGGUGAAAUGCGUAGAUAUCAUUUGGAACGCCAAUGGUGAAAACAGCUCGCUGGGAGUGUGCUGACGCUGAGACACGAAAGCCAGGGUAGCGAACGGGAUUAGAUACCCCGGUAGUCCUGGCCGUAAACGAUGUCGACUAGAUCGCAGUGCCUCUGACGGUAUUGCGGUCGAAGCAAAAGUGCUAAGUCGACCGCCUGGGAAGUACGGUCGCAAGGCUAAAACUCAAAGGAAUUGACGGGGGCUCACACAAGCGGUGGAGCAUGUGGUUCAAUUCGAAGCAACGCGCAGAACCUUACCUGGGCUUGACAUGCCAGGAUUAUCCCUGUGAAAGCAGGGUAGGCCCUUCGGGGUACAACUGGUACAGGUGCUGCAUGGUUGUCGUCAGCUCGUGUCGUGAGAUGUUGGGUUAAGUCCCGCAACGAGCGCAACCCUUGAUUUUAGUUGCCAGCAUUUGGUUGGGCACUCUAGAAUGACUGCCGGUGACAAACCGGAGGAAGGUGGGGAUGACGUCAAAUCAUCAUGCCCCUUAUGACCUGGGCUACACACGUACUACAAUGGCCGGUACAACGGGGUGCAAUACCGCGAGGUGGAGCGAAUCCUUAAAAGCCGGUCUCAGUUCGGAUUGCAGGCUGCAACUCGCCUGCAUGAAGUCGGAAUUGCUAGUAAUCGCGGAUCAGCAUGCCGCGGUGAAUACGUUCCCGGGCCUUGUACACACCGCCCGUCACACCACGAGAGUUUAUAACACCCGAAGUCGGUGAGGUAACCGCAAGGAGCCAGCCGCCGAAGGUGGGAUAGAUGAUUGGGGUGAAGUCGUAACAAGGUAACCGU